rnacentral:rRNA from 1 species
GAGUUUGAUCCUGGCUCAGGAUGAACGCUGGCGGCGUGCCUAAUACAUGCAAGUCGAGCGAACGGACGAGAAGCUUGCUUCUCUGAUGUUAGCGGCGGACGGGUGAGUAACACGUGGGUAACCUACCUAUAAGACUGGGAUAACUCCGGGAAACCGGGGCUAAUACCGGAUAACACAUGAAACCGCAUGGUUUCAUGAUGAAAGACGGUCUUGCUGUCACUUAUAGAUGGAUCCGCGCUGCAUUAGCUAGUUGGUAAGGUAACGGCUUACCAAGGCAACGAUGCAUAGCCGACCUGAGAGGGUGAUCGGCCACACUGGAACUGAGACACGGUCCAGACUCCUACGGGAGGCAGCAGUAGGGAAUCUUCCGCAAUGGGCGAAAGCCUGACGGAGCAACGCCGCGUGAGUGAUGAAGGUCUUCGGAUCGUAAAACUCUGUUAUUAGGGAAGAACAUAUGUGUAAGUAACUAGUGCACAUCUUGACGGUACCUAAUCAGAAAG